AGAAUCAACGCUGGCGGCGUGCCUAACACAUGCAAGUCGAACGAGAAAGUGGAGCAAUCCAUGAGUAAAGUGGCGCACGGGUGAGUAACACGUGACUAACCUACCCUUGAGUGGGGAUAACCUAGGGAAACCUGGGCUAAUACCGCAUAAUACCUUCGGGUCAAAGGAGCAAUUCGCUUAAGGAGGGGUCGCGGCCGAUUAGCUAGUUGGUGAGGUAACGGCCCACCAAGGCGAUGAUCGGUAG
rnacentral:rRNA from 1 species